rnacentral:lncRNA from 1 species
GAUACGAGACGCCUUGAGGAGCUGACCGAUUAGCACGACGCAAAAGCAGGUAAAGCUCCUCCAAGCUUCUCCGACGAGAGAAAUAUGCAGCGAAAUAUAAUAUGAGGGAACAAUCGACAGAGAGAUCGAGAUAGAUGCAUAACAGAGAAGAUCAAAUCAGAUCUGAGAAAGGAAUUCAGAGAUUUGUAACCUAGACCGACGAAACCCUAGAAAGAGAGGAAACAUGAUUUGGACCGAUUAAACGGUGGAAAUGGUGUUUUAAUCGGUGGAGAUGGAAGAUCGAAGGUUGGAAUGGUGUUUAAUCGGUGGAGAUGGAAGAUCGAAGGUUGGAAUGAUGUUUAAUCGGUCUAAAAGCCGAAUCAAUCGGUAGAAAUGGACGGAGAUGAUGAAUGAAGGUUUUAAUCGGUAGAAAACCUAGCAAAAUGGAGGAGAAGGAUGGAUUUAUGAAGAGAAAGGGCUUACUGUGGUUGAUGCAGUGGUUGCGAGGUUGAAACCCUAACAGAGGAAGGUUGCUUCGAGAGAGAAACGUUCUCGAAGACUCUGAGAGUGCAAUGUUGUGAAGGAGUCAGGCUGCGAGGGAGAAAAAUGAUGCCCUGUGAGGUGUUGAAGCGCUGACGCAGGCAGAGGGCUAGGUGGCAGCCAGAGAGUGGAUCAGCGUAGAUGAGUGAGAAGCACCAUGGAAAUUAAUGGAACAAUGAAAUAAUGAAGUGUGCUUUGGAAGGAGGCUAGAGGUCUUGGGACUCUCUAGCCAUUGACUUUCAAGGGAGAAUUAUUUUCUGAAUUAGAAAACCAAAUUCUCAUUAGCUCAAAAGUGAUUACAAGAUGUGUUAGCAUGCCUAUAUAUAGGUCACAUGCCUAACACAAUACAAAGUACAUAAAAGAAAAGCUAUACUAAAGACAUUCGGCUUUGGGCCCGC